rnacentral:rRNA from 1 species
UACGUAGGGGGCAAGCGUUGUCCGGAAUCAUUGGGCGUAAAGCGCGCGUAGGCGGCCCGGUAAGUCCGCUCUGAAAGUCCAGGGCUCAACCCUGGAAAGCGGGUGGAUACUGCCGGGCUAGAGUCCGGAAGAGGCGAGUGGAAUUCCUGGUGUAGCGGUGGAAUGCGCAGAUAUCAGGAAGAACACCAAUGGCGAAAGCAGCUUUCUGGGACGGUACUGACGCUGAGACGCGAAAGCGUGGGGAGCGAACAGG